CUAUUUUUAUUUUAAUUUCUGAUUUUAUAUUUUAUCCUUUUAGUUUAUUUAAUUUAUAAUAAUUUCAUUUUUAAUCCAAAAAAUAUGGGACUUUCACCAAAAAUCUUUAAGUAUUUUUCUCUUCCAUAUUCUGAAUUAAAAUUAUUUGUUGGAUUAAUUUUGAUAUUUUUCCUGAAUUAAUUAUUUUUAUGCAUAUUUUUAAUUGUUUAAAAAUACUUCUGACUUUUUUUAAAAUCAUGAAUUUU
rnacentral:lncRNA from 1 species